rnacentral:rRNA from 1 species
CAGUUCGGAUUGUAGUCUGCAACUCGACUACAUGAAGCUGGAAUCGCUAGUAAUCGCGAAUCAGAAUGUCGCGGUGAAUACGUUCCCGGGUCUUGUACACACCGCCCGUCACACCACGGAAGUUGGGGGCGCCCGAAGCCACUUAGCUAACCCUUUUGGGAAGCGAGUGUCGAAGGUGAAAUCAAUAACUGGGGUGAAGUCGUAACAAGGUAUC